UCGAGUGUAAACUCACCAACCCAUGUGAACAUACCUUCUGUUGCUUCGGCGGGAUCGCCCCGGGCUCAUUCGUGUGCCCCGGAAUCAGGCGCCCGCCGGGGGAAUCAAACUAUUGUCUUUACAGUGGAUUAUCUGAGUGGCUCUUGAGCAAAUAAAUCA
rnacentral:misc_RNA from 1 species